GUUUGUUGCCUCCUCUUAACUGUGAGACUCUAGGGGACAGUGAUGGAGUUGCUCAUCCAUGUGCCCCCCUCUGCCUAGGAGAGAGUGCCCAACAUAGAACAGACCUUCAAAGAAUAUCAGCUUAAUGCGUAAUUCAUCUAUUCCAGUUUUCAUCUGGGUAGAUUGAGAUGUCCAAGAUUACAAAGUUUGGCUAUCUCCUGAGGGAACUCUUACACAUUUCAGUAGCAGAGCCACCCAGAGGUGUCUAACUUUAAGUGCUUCUCUCCCCAUUAUGGUUUACAGCAGCAACUUUCAAAUUUUUUAAUCUAAGAAUUCUUUUACACCUAAACACCAGUCAUCUCCAGGACUUGACUUCAUCAUUUGCCUGUUCACCAUUGUAUCCCUAGAAUCUGUAACAACAACCAGAAGGUACUCAAUAAAUAUUUAAUCAAUGAACAAAUGACUAACUCAUUUCUACUGUAAGGGUAUAUGUACUUGAGAGAAGUUAAGUAUAUGUACUUGAGAGAAGAGGAAUUUUUAUUAUGUGAAAUAAGGCAUAUGUUAAUUAUCUUGAUUAAGCCAUUACACAAUGUAUACAUAUUUCAAAACAUGUUGUAUAUGAUAAAUAUAUACAAUUUUAUGUCAACUUAAAAAAGAAUAAAGAAAUAAUAAUAACAUCAAAAGGAGCUUUUAUGUAUUUAUUUGUAUAUAUUCCUGGGGUACAAGUGCAAUUUUGCUACGUGGAUAUAUUGCAUUGUGGUGACGUCGGGGCCUUCAGUGCAUCACUGGAACAACACACACUGUACCCACCAAGUAACCCCCCAUCCUCCACCCUGCCUCCCACCCCCUCAGCCCCCACCCUCUGAGUCUCCACUGUCCAUCAUUCCACAUGCUACAUCCAUGUGUACACAUUUUUUUAGCUCCCACUUAUUAGUGAAAACGUGUGGUAUUUGUCUUUCUGUGUCUGAGUUGUUUCACUUAAGCUAAUGGCCUCCAGGUUCAUUCAGGUUGCUGCAAAAGACAUGAUUUCAUUCUUUUUUUUAAGGCUGAAUAAUAUUCCAUUGUGUAUAUAUACCAUAUUUUCUUUAUCUAAUCCUCUGUUGAUGGACACUUAGGUUGAUUUCAUAUCUUUAUUAUUGUGAAUAGUGCUGCAAUAAAUAUACCAGUAGAGAAUGUGUGCUUUGAAGAGAUUGAAAAAGGUUUGAAAUAAGCACAGUAGAGAAUGGAAUACAGAGUUGACUAAUAAAACAUAGUGGGGAUUGACAGGAAAUACUAGGAAUCCAGGUGAAGUUGGUGACAAUGAAUUUACAGUAAUGUAAGUCUACUCAGUAGCAUGAUUUUCCCCAGCACCACUAAGCAGCCUGGGUGCAGGUGAAGACAAGAUGAGCAGUUGCGCACAUCUAGGUUUGAGAAUUUGUCAGAUAGAUGUGAAUAAAAGACAACAAAGCAAGGGAGUGUAGAAUACUGACCAAAAAAUGACUCAUGGAAAAAUAGAAUCUAAACUGUGCUCCAGCUUAGAGAGGGAAGAGAGAACAUGUGUGCAGGGAUAGAACUGGGAAACAGCAGGAAGAUCAGUGGACUAGAACAGAUAGGAGAUAAUAGUCAGGAAUGGCUCAAUUCAUGAUUUCUUAGGUGUAGUUAUUUUGGAUAUCACAGUUCAUCUCAGACUUCCAAGAGAGUUUACAUUCUUAGUAUCCCCCAAAGACCUCCUUCACUUAGAAGGUGAAUAUAAUAGCAAAAACUAAAAUUUACUGAGAAUUUCAUAUGUUCUUAGCACUAUGCCAAGCAUUUUACAUGCAUUGUCCCCAUUUAACCCUACCAGUAUCAAUAGUUACUUCAAACGUUACAGCAGUUGGGCCCAUCUAUGCAGGUUGACU
rnacentral:lncRNA from 1 species